rnacentral:rRNA from 1 species
AACGAACGCUGGCGGCAGGCCUAACACAUGCAAGUCGAACGCCCUAGCAAUAGGGAGUGGCAGACGGGUGAGUAACACGUGGGAACCUUCCCUAUAGUACGGAAUAGCCCAGGGAAACUUGGAGUAAUACCGUAUACGCCCGAGAGGGGAAAGAUUUAUCGCUAUAGGAUGGGCCCGCGUAGGAUUAGCUAGUUGGUGAGGUAAUGGCUCACCAAGGCGACGAUCCUUAGCUGGUCUGAGAGGACGACCAGCCACACUGGGACUGGGACACGGCCCAGACUCCUACGGGAGGCAGCAGUGGGGAAUAUUGGACAAUGGGCGCAAGCCUGAUCCAGCCAUGCCGCGUGAGUGGUGAAGGCCUUAGGGUUGUAAAGCUCUUUUGUCGGGGACGAUAAUGACGGUACCCGAAGAAUAAGUCCCGGCUAACUUCGUGCCAGCCGCCGCGGUAA